AACAUUCCCAGUUUACACGUUGCAAAUGACUCUUGGCACCAUAUGGGAAGAAGAAAUGAAGAGUGUUUAAUAUUUUGAGCUUGGAAGCAACAGAGGAAAAUUCCGAGGAGCUACGACUGAGUAUUUUUGUAGAAUGUAUGCUAUGACAAGCUCCUGUACUUUACCACUUUAACAUUCAUACUUGUGAUUGAGCAAUAAAUUUGUACAUUACU